rnacentral:rRNA from 1 species
AUACGGAGGGGGUUAGCGUUGUUCGGAAUUACUGGGCGUAAAGCGCACGUAGGCGGACUGGAAAGUUGGGGGUGAAAUCCCGGGGCUCAACCUCGGAACUGCCUCCAAAACUAUCAGUCUAGAGUUCGAGAGAGGUGAGUGGAAUUCCCAAGUGUAGAGGUGAAAUGCGUAGAUAUGUGGAAGAACACCUGUGGCGAAAGCGGUUUUCUAGUUUAUUCCUGACGCUGAGGCGCGAGAGCAAGGGGAGCAAACAGGAUUAGAUACCCUGGUAGUCCUUGCCGUAAACGAUGUAUACUUGGUGUAGCUGGGCUCAACCCUAGCUGUGCCGGAGCUAACGCGUUAAGUAUACCGCCUGAGGAGUACGCUCGCAAGGGUAAACUCAAAAGAAUUGACGGGGCCCGCACAAGCAGUGGAGUAUGUGGUUUAAUUCGAUGCAACGCGAAGAACCUUACCCAGGUUUGACAUCUAGAGGACCGCACUAGAGAUAGUGUUUCCCGUAAGGGUCUUUAGACAGGUGCUGCAUGG